GCUUGUAUCACGUCAUAUUGACAUAAGUGACGCACGCGCACCUGUUCACGGUGAUAAUGGCUGCUUUCUUCUCAUCUGUUUCAUUUCCACCGUGGGUUUUCGAGUCCACUUUCUGUUCUUUUGCUUAAAAGCCGCUACAGCCACCUACAGGAUUGGAGUGGAACCGCAUCGACCCGAACUAAAACCUUGGAGCCAGCAACCUAUCACCGCUGAAGAUGUGGCGGCGGACUGUGCUCGUCUCUGCGCUGCUGCUCAAAGCUGCCAGUCUGCAGAUCACCGGUUAUGGUGACACAACGGCUGACUACGGCGAGGACGCACACUACAAGUGCGAGCUGCGCAACCAGACAGGCGUGCGUCAGGUCACGUGGCAAAGGCGCCUGCAGGACCAUACUAUCGAGAACGUAGCGUCUUACAGCAAGUGGCACGGCCAACAGAUCAAUCAGCCCUACCAGGGGAAGGUGAUGCUCUCCGAGACGUCCCUCAGCUCUGCGUCCAUCACCCUAAAGAACCUGACAUGGGAGGAUGAGAGCUGUUAUAUCUGCCUGUUCAACGUCUACCCGGAAGGGUCCAAGAAAAAGCAGACCUGCCUCAGUGUGCAAGGAAUAUCUGAAGUGCAAACAAAGGUGUACCGUCCCAGCGGUGGCCUGGUAGACAGAACCAUGCCGGUUAUGUUCAGUUGCUCUGCAACCGGGAAACCAGAACCCACCAUCCACUGGCUCUUCUCGCAAGGCGAUACCAGUUUGCACCAGCCGGUGGUUGCCACGGUAGCCAACGGCGACCAUACGUUUACCAGCAGUAGUAAUGUCACCUUGAUUGUCUCCAGAGGCUGGAAGGGACAUGCCGACUGCGUGGUGAACAGCGGGAGUCAGGGACAGAGGAUAAAGAGGAUCCCCUUUUCCUGGGAUGCUGACCUGGAGGAGGGAGGGACAGGUGGAAUACUGUCCCAAACUGACCUGGUUCUUCUCACUCUUGGUGUUGUUGCUGUGAUGGCACUCAUAUUAAUGGUUGUGAUAGGUGUGAAGAUACGAAAAAGGGAGAAAGAGUACAGAAAAACACCAAAUGUUCAAAUUGAAGUUGAAUAGAUUAAAAGAGGAGGAAUGUGCGGAGUUCACUUGCUUUUCGUCUCAUCUAUACAGCCAUAUACACACUCUUAAAAAUGCUGGGUUAUUUUUUUGACCCAAUCGCUGGGUUGAGCCUGUUGGGUCAUUUAAUUGGGUUAUUUUUAUUGAGUUGGGUAUUCUGAGAACCCAAUUCGCUGGGUUAUCUCUGUUGGGUGCUGAGUUAUUUGCUGCUGGGUUGUGAUUUCCAUUAUAUUGUGCUGGGUUAUUUUGGACAACCCAAAGCGUUGGGUAGAAUUUUGAACACGCGCAACAAAGCCCCGCCCACAAACUUACUUCGUUCGGACCCCACAUUUCAUCUGAGGAGACCAAUUUCAGCACGGAGCAAGUUCGCUGAAAAGCAUCUAUGGAUGAGUUUAUCAGUUCCAAAUUGACUGAGAGGCAGCUACCAGGGCUGAUUGAAAGAUGCCAGGGGAGAAGUCGCCCUGACGCUUCUGCCCAUCCUGCUCCCUCCGCCUGUGUUUAAAAAGGGCAGGAAAUUGGUCCGGGCGAGUAUUCAGGAGGUGAAGAGAGCCUUCCUCGAUGUUAAGCCCGUCGGAGCUAACAUGGUGGAAUACUUGCAGCAGGCAGAAUCGCCUACCCAUUUGUGCUGCUGCUCACAGAGCCUCUUGUUCUAUGUAUAUAUCACUCUCUCAUAGCUGUCCCCUCACCCGUUCUUAAAAUGUUAUUUUUUUGUACAUAAUUUGUUCAUAUGUGAAGGAAAUGUUGUGAGUUGUUAUAUUUGUAUGUUCUGGAAAUGUUGAAUUUUAAUAAAUAUUUUAUUGUUACAUUGGUGUCAUUAUCAUUGUAAUAUAUUAUUAAUAGUAUUAGCAUACAAUAAAAAUAAAUAAAUAAUAUUUAAAAUAUAUAUAUAAAUAUAUAUGGUAUAUUGGCAACCCAACUUGCUGGGUUGAAAUAACCCAGCCGUGUAGUUAAUAUGAACCCAGCGUUGGGUCAUUUGAACAACCCAAUGUACAACCCAAUUGUUGGGUUAAGAGAACCAACCCAACUUGUUGGGUUAAAAUAACCCAACGCGAGGUUGGUCCUAUAUUUAACCAGCGUUGGGUUGAAAAACAACCCAGAUUGGGUUGUUUUUAACCCAGCAUUUUUAAGAGUGCAUAUAAACCUAGCAGCAAAAUGCAGCAGAUACAUAAUAGGAAGGUUCAUUGUGCAGAAUGUUCUAUAAGUGUUUGCAAGUAUGUUUCCUUUUUUCAAGACUGCACAAAUGCAUCUUAUUUUGGGGAUUGUGAGUAGGUUUAGUGAUUUUGUGCAGAAGGACGUGUGGGUAUAAGGCUGAGGAUGGGGGGGUGGAGUGGGGGGUGGCCAAGUGGUGAGCAUAGCCAGCAGAUUGGGGACUCAAUUUAAGUGAGUUGUAGUGCCACCUCGUAUUUAUUAAUAUAGUUAUUUAUGUUCACGUAACUGUGUGGGUGUCAGGGGGUCUGCUCUUGAGUGGUUUAGGUCGUACCUGUCAGGGAGAUGCCUUGCCGUGGGACUUGGGGGAUCUUACUCCUCCACUGCUCCGCUUGACUGUGGAGUUCCGCAAGGAUCAAUUCUUGGGCCCAUUUUAUUUGCCCUCUACCUGGUCCCACUUGGCGCAGUACUUAAAAAGCAUGGCAUCUCCUAUCACUUGUAUGCGGACGACUGCCAGCUGUACUUGCCACUCGCAAAAAAUAAUCAUGCCCCCCUGACACCCCUUCUUGAGUGCUUAAGGGAUGUCAAGGCCUGGUUGGCUCACAACAUUUUAAUGCUUAACGAGGAGAAGACCGAAGCUAUCCUCCUCAACUAUAAAGGCCCCCCUAUAGACUUCGGUCCCCUCCAAAACAACAUUCGUCCCUCAGCCACCAGCCUUGGCGUCAUAAUAGACAGUGAUUUUAAACUCAACAAACAAAUUAAUGCAGUUAUAAAAUCCUGUUUUUAUCAUCUUCGGCUUUUAUCUAAAAUUAAAUCUUUUUUAUCUUUGCAACAGUUUGAGCAAGUCAUGCACGCUUUUAUUUCAUCACGUCUGGACUACUGUAAUGCACUUUACUCUGGAAUUAGCCAAAAGUCUCUCUCCCGCUUACAGUUAGUCCAGAACUCUGCGGCACGGCUUUUAACAGGAACCAAAAAGGGGGAGCACAUCACCCCAAUUCUGGCCUCCCUUCAUUGGUUGCCUGUUCGUUUUAGGAUUGAUUUUAAGAUUUUAUUGUUUGUUUUUAAGGCGUUGAAUGGGCUGGCCCCCAAAUACAUCUCGGACCUCAUCCAAGUUUACUCUCCAGCUCGAUCACUGAGGUCCGAGGGCCAACUCCAACUUGUGGUGCCCAAGACGAGACUUAAGACCAGGGGGGACCGAGCCUUUUCUGUGGUCGGCCCCAAACUAUGGAACUCUCUGCCCUCCCAAGUAAAAAAGGCCCCCAAUAUCGAAAGCUUUAAGUCUCGUCUUAAAACCCACUUUUAUUCUCUGGCUUUUAACUCAGAGUGAGUCGUAUGGUCCUGUGUCUUUUAGUUCUUUGUUUUUAUUGUAAUUGGUUCUAUUUUUUAUACUUUUAUUGCUUUGUUUCUUGUUUUUAAUAUUUUAAUAUCAUGCAUUUUAUUAUUUUAUUUCUUAAAUGCUCUUUUAGUUUUGGAUUAUUACUUUUUAUUUUUACUCGUCUGUGCAGCACUUUGGAAACUCUGUUUAUAAA